rnacentral:rRNA from 1 species
GCAAGUCGAACGGUAACAGCAGAGCUUGCUCUGGCUGACGAGUGGCGCACGGGUGCGUAACGCGUAUGCAACUUACCCCUAACUGGAGAAUAGCCUUUCGAAAGGAAGAAUAAUACUCCAUAGUACUUCAAAGAGGCAUCUCUUUGUUUUUAAAGCUUCGGCGGUUAGGGAUAGGCAUGCGUCCUAUUAGUUUGUUGGUAAGGUAACGGCUUACCAAGACUACGAUAGGUAGGGGGCCUGAGAGGGUUAUC